rnacentral:rRNA from 1 species
GACGAACGCGGCGGCGUGCCUAAUACAUGCAAGUAGAACGCUGAAGGAGGAGCUUGCUUCUCCGGAUGAGUUGCGAACGGGUGAGUAACGCGUAGGUAACCUGCCUGGUAGCGGGGGAUAACUAUUGGAAACGAUAGCUAAUACCGCAUAAGAGUAGAUGUUGCAUGACAUUUGCUUAAAAGGUGCAAUUGCAUCACUACCAGAUGGACCUGCGUUGUAUUAGCUAGUUGGUGGGGUAACGGCUCACCAAGGCGACGAUACAUAGCCGACCUGAGAGGGUGAUCGGCCACACUGGGACUGAGACACGGCCCAGACUCCUACGGGAGGCAGCAGUAGGGAAUCUUCGGCAAUGGACGGAAGUCUGACCGAGCAACGCCGCGUGAGUGAAGAAGGUUUUCGGAUCGUAAAGCUCUGUUGUAAGAGAAGAACGAGUGUGAGAGUGGAAAGUUCACACUGUGACGGUAUCUUACCAGAAAGGGACGGCUAACUACGUGCCAGCAGCCGCGGUAAUACGUAGGUCCCGAGCGUUGUCCGGAUUUAUUGGGCGUAAAGCGAGCGCAGGCGGUUAGAUAAGUCUGAAGUUAAAGGCUGUGGCUUAACCAUAGUACGCUUUGGAAACUGUUUAACUUGAGUGCAAGAGGGGAGAGUGGAAUUCCAUGUGUAGCGGUGAAAUGCGUAGAUAUAUGGAGGAACACCGGUGGCGAAAGCGGCUCUCUGGCUUGUAACUGACGCUGAGGCUCGAAAGCGUGGGGAGCAAACAGG